UACGUAGGGUGCGAGCGUUGUCCGGAAUUAUUGGGCGUAAAGAGCUCGUAGGCGGUUUGUUGCGUCUAUCGUGAAAACCUGCAGCUUAACUGUGGGCUUGCGGUGGAUACGGGCAAACUUGAGUUCGGUAGGGGAGACUGGAAUUCCUGGUGUAGCGGUGAAAUGCGCAGAUAUCAGGAGGAACACCGGUGGCGAAGGCGGGUCUCUGGGCCGAUAAUGACGCUGAGGAGCGAAAGCGUGGGGAGCGAACAGG
rnacentral:rRNA from 1 species